GAAGAAAGAGGGAGGAGGGAGGAAAAAAAGCAAGUCGAACGGAAAGGCCCUGCUUGCAGGGUACUCGAGUGGCGAACGGGUGAGUAACACGUGGGUGAUCUGCCCUGCACUUCGGGAUAAGCCUGGGAAACUGGGUCUAAUACCGGAUAGGAGCCAUUUUUAGUGUGAUGGUUGGAAAGUUUUUUCGGUGUAGGAUGAGCUCGCGGCCUAUCAGCUUGUUGGUGGGGUAAUGGCCUACCAAGGCGGCGACGGGGAGCCGGCCUGAGAGGGUGGACGGCCACAUUGGGACUGAGAUACGGCCCAGACUCCUACGGGAGGCAGCGGUGGGGAAUAUUGCACAAUGGGCGCAAGCCUGAUGCAGCGACGCCGCGUGGGGGAUGCCGGCCUUCGGGUUGUAAACUCCUUUCGCUAGGGACGAAGCUUUUUGUGACGGUACCUAGAUAAGAAGCACCGGCUCCCUACGUG
rnacentral:rRNA from 1 species